CACAAUGUUUGACAAAUUUGUUCGUCAGUUGUCAAUCAGUUGUCGAAGUCACAAAAUGAUCGGAAUACAUUUCGUGAUCGUCGCGUUGCUUGUAGUAGAAAUCAAAGCCAAUUGUUUAGUUAGAGAUGCCGAUGUCUUGGCAACCAAUCGAAUAUUUGCCAAACGCGUCUCAUCUUGAGUUACUUCGCAAUAAUCUAGUUCCAACUGGCAGCAGAUUGAGAUUAUUAUGUAGUUCCAGCGAUUUUGUGGAUUCCACUUGUCGAAGAAAUCGCAGAUUUGUUCCUGCAUUGUCAGCGUCAAAUUGUAUACGAAAACCCGAAGCAAUUGUUGAGUUGGUCGAUAACGAUAAUUGUCCUUUUAGUAAGUUUCAUGUGGGAUACAAAUUGAACGCGCAACAGUUUCUUGAAGUAUAUAGAAGUUGCUAUGACAUUGCAAUACAAAGAUCAGUCUUUUCCAUUAAUGAAUUAUAUCGUCACAAUCUAACCUCAAAAUGUAUCUCCUCUGGCUUUACCACAGAAAACGUGACUAUAUCUCGCUCCUUUCAGGCCAAGAGUAUACUAAAUAGGUUCAAUUAAAUUCUUGGAAAACAGAAUUACACAUCGAACGAUCGACCG